UACGUAGGGUGCAAGCGUUUAAUCGGAAUUACUGGGCGUAAAGGGCGCGCAGGCGGCUCUGAAAGUCAGAUGUGAAAGCCCCGGGCUUAACCUGGGAACUGCAUUUGAUACUCUGGAGCUUGAGUACGGGAGAGGAGAGUGGAAUUCCCAGUGUAGAGGUGAAAUUCGUAGAUAUUGGGAAGAACACCGGUGGCGAAGGCGGCUCUCUGGACCGUAACUGACGCUGAGGCGCGAAAAGCGUGGGGAGCAAACAGG
rnacentral:rRNA from 1 species